AGCGAACGCUGGCGGCAUGCCUAACACAUGCAAGUCGCACGGGGGGGCUUCGGCCUCCCAGUGGCGGACGGGGGAGGAACGCGUAGGGACCUGUCGAGGGGUGGGGGAUAACCGCGGGAAACUGCGGCUAAUACCGCAUGACGCCGCGUCGGGACAGCCGGGGCCAAAGGCGAAAGCCGCGCGCCGAGGGGCCUGCGUCCGAUGAGCUGGGUGGCGGGGGAGCGGCCACUCAAGGCGUGGAUCGGUAGCUGGUCAGAGAGGGUGAGCCGGCACACCGGGAGUGGGCAGCGGCGCGGACUCCUACGGGAGGCAGGAGUGGGGAAUAUUGGAAAACGGGCGCAAGCAUGAUCCCGCACGGCCGCGUGGGUGAAGAAGGUCGUAGGAUAGUACAGCCCUUUAGGCGGGGACGAUGGUGACGGUACCCGAAGAAGAAGCACCGGCUAACUUCGUG
rnacentral:rRNA from 1 species